rnacentral:rRNA from 1 species
CAGCUCCAAUAGCGUAUAUUAAAGUUGUUGCAGUUAAAAAGCUCGUAGUUGAAUUUCGGGGUUAGUAGGUUGGUCAUGCCUCUGGUAUGUACUGGUCUCACUGAUUCCUCCUUCCUGAUGAACCUUAAUGCCAUUUAUUUGGUGUUUUGGGGAAUUUGGACUGUUACUUUGAAAAAAUUAGAGUGUUUAAAGCAAGCUAACGCUUGAAUACAUUAGCAUGGAAUAAUGAAAUAGGACGUUCGAUCCUAUUUUGUUGGUUUCUAGGAUUGACGUAAUGAUUAACAGGGAUAGUUGGGGGCAUUAGUAUUCAAUUGUCAGAGGUGAAAUUCUUGGAUUUAUUGAAGACUAACUACUGCGAAAGCAUUUGCCAAGGAUGUUUUCAUUAAUCAAGAACGAAAGUUAGGGGAUCGAAGACGAUCAGAUACCGUCGUAGUCUUAACCAUAAACUAUGCCGACUAGGGAUCGGAUGAU